GUGGCAGCUUGGUUGUCACAUGUAUGAUGCCACUUUCGACAAUCUUUCAGAAUGACAUCAUAUAUAUGGCAGCUAAACUGCUAC
rnacentral:pre_miRNA from 1 species